rnacentral:rRNA from 1 species
ACGCUGAAGAGAGGAGCUUGCUCUUCUUGGAUGAGUUGCGAACGGGUGAGUAACGCGUAGGUAACCUGCCUUGUAGCGGGGGAUAACUAUUGGAAACGAUAGCUAAUACCGCAUAACAAUGAAUGACUCAUGUCAUUUAUUUGAAAGGGGCAAUUGCUCCACUACAAGAUGGACCUGCGUUGUAUUAGCUAGUAGGUGAGGUAACGGCUCACCUAGGCGACGAUACAUAGCCGACCUGAGAGGGUGAUCGGCCACACUGGGACUGAGACACGGCCCAGACUCCUACGGGAGGCAGCAGUAGGGAAUCUUCGGCAAUGGGGGCAACCCUGACCGAGCAACGCCGCGUGAGUGAAGAAGGUUUUCGGAUCGUAAAGCUCUGUUGUAAGUCAAGAACGAGUGUGAGAGUGGAAAAUUCACACUGUGACGGUAGCUUACCAGAAAGGGACGGCUAACUACGUGCCAGCAGCCGCGGUAAUACGUAGGUCCCGAGCGUUGUCCGGAUUUAUUGGGCGUAAAGCGAGCGCAGGCGGUUUGAUAAGUCUGAAGUUAAAGGCUGUGGCUCAACCAUAGUUCGCUUUGGAAACUGUCAAACUUGAGUGCAGAAGGGGAGAGUGGAAUUCCAUGUGUAGCGGUGAAAUGCGUAGAUAUAUGGAGGAACACCGGUGGCGAAAGCGGCUCUCUGGUCUGUAACUGACGCUGAGGCUCGAAAGCGUGGGGAGCGAACAGGAUUAGAUACCCUGGUAGUCCACGCCGUAAACGAUGAGUGCUAGGUGUUGGAUCCUUUCCGGGAUUCAGUGCCGCAGCUAACGCAUUAAGCACUCCGCCUGGGGAGUACGACCGCAAGGUUGAAACUCAAAGGAAUUGACGGGGGCCCGCACAAGCGGUGGAGCAUGUGGUUUAAUUCGAAGCAACGCGAAGAACCUUACCAGG